UCAGAUUGAACGCUGGCGGCAUGCUUUACACAUGCAAGUCGAACGGCAGCGCGGACUUCGGUCUGGCGGCGAGUGGCGAACGGGUGAGUAAUAUAUCGGAACGUGCCCAAGAGUGGGGGAUAACGUAGCGAAAGUUACGCUAAUACCGCAUACGAUCUAAGGAUGAAAGUGGGGGAUCGCAAGACCUCAUGCUCCUGGAGCGGCCGAUAUCUGAUUAGCUAGUUGGUGAGGUAAAGGCUCACCAAGGCGACGAUCAGUAGCUGGUCUGAGAGGACGACCAGCCACACUGGAACUGAGACACGGUCCAGACUCCUACGGGAGGCAGCAGUGGGGAAUUUUGGACAAUGGGGGCAACCCUGAUCCAGCAAUGCCGCGUGAGUGAAGAAGGCCUUCGGGUUGUAAAGCUCUUUUGUCAGGGAAGAAAAGGGUACGGCUAAUAUC
rnacentral:rRNA from 1 species